GGAGCCGUUCAAGGACGGAGUCUCGAGAAAGGUGCUGUUGAGACCGUCUGGACGGCGCGCUGAAUGCAGAUGGCAGAGAUUUGGUGACGCUCAGGACGGGCGCAGAGAUGCACUGGUCCUGUGGCCACCCAAGACAAGCCUCGUAGAGAGACAGAGCAUGAGCAGGGGUGGGGCAGAGAGAGAGGGAGACACAGAAUCUGAAGCAGCCUUCAGGCUCUGAGCUGUCAGCACAGAGCCAGACUUGGGGCUUGAACCCACCGACUGCAAGAUCGUGACCUGAACUGAAGUCAGCCACUCAACCGACUGAGUCACCCAGGCGCUCCACAAAUGAGCUGAGUUUUUAACAAUGACAAGAAUUCACCCAGGUGAAUAGUAGGCUGAGGAAGCCAGUGCUUUUUCCCAGAAAGGAACUUGUGACAUGUUGGCACUGUCUUGGGCUUCCACUCAAGAAAAUGUAGUGAUAUGAUGACAGG